rnacentral:rRNA from 1 species
UACGUAGGGGGCAAGCGUUGUCCGGAAUCAUUGGGCGUAAAGAGCGUGUAGGCGGCCCGAUAAGUCCGCUGUGAAAGUCCAGGGCUCAACCCUGGGAUGCCGGUGGAUACUGUCGGGCUCGAGUCCGGAAGAGGAGUGUGGAAUUCCUGGUGUGAGCGGUGAAAUGCGCAGAUAUCAGGAGGAACACCAAUUGCGAAGGCAGCUCGCUGGGACGUUACUGACGCUGAGACGCGAAAGCGUGGGAGCAA